rnacentral:rRNA from 1 species
AGAACGAACGCUGGCGGCAUGCCUAACACAUGCAAGUCGAACGCCUGUAGCAAUACAGGAGUGGCGCACGGGUGAGUAACGCGUGGGAACCUACCCUGGAGUGGGGGAUAACCGAGAGAAAUUUCGGCUAAUACCGCAUACGACCUGAGGGUGAAAGAUUUAUCGCUCUAGGAGGGGCCCGCGUCGGAUUAGCUAGUUGGUGGGGUAACGGCCUACCAAGGCAACGAUCCGUAGCUGGUCUGAGAGGAUGAUCAGCCACACUGGGACUGAGACACGGCCCAGACUCCUACGGGAGGCAGCAGUGGGGAAUAUUGGACAAUGGGGGGCAACCCUGAUCCAGCAAUGCCGCGUGAGUGAUGAAGGCCUUAGGGUUGUAAAGCUCGUUUCGGCGGGGACGAUGAUGACGGUACCGCAGAAGAGCCCGGCUAACUCGCGCCAGCAGCCGC